AAAGAAGGAUUUGCUAAGCUGAUUAGAUACUCAGCUGCGAAAUGUUUGAAAGGUUCAGUUUGAUAUACAUUUACAGGAUAUGCACUAUGGAUGGGCUAUCUCGGAUACAAACAUUAUUUUGCAACCAACCUACGCUCUAGAGUGUAUCUAAUUCUGAAGCAGAGAUUAGCCAGGGAAAUGUUUUACCACGUAUAAUGAACGGUCCAUCAUCUUCUGUGUCAGUGCAGCUUCUGUUCCUUCUAUUUGUUUUAGCCACUAUAUGACCAUGGCAGGAACAAGAGGAAUAGAAAAAGAUCUGUUGCUGAAGGACAUGGACGAUUAUUACACAAGAAGGAAAAGGCAGCAGGAUAAAUCAAUGGUGCGUGUGCACAUGUGCAUUUGUGUGAGAGAGAGUGAUAUCACACAAGUAAUUCUCAGCUUGAGAACUAUUAUUUGAAUAAUAAACGGUUUGUUAUAUUACA